AUACGUAGGGAGCGAGCGUUGUCCGGAAUUACAGGGCGUAAAGGGCGCGUAGGCGGCGCUUCAAGUCGUCUGUCAAAUGGAAGGGCUUAACCCUUUUUCGCAGACGAAACUGGAGAGCUUGAGAAGCAGAGAGGCAAACAGAAUUCCUGGUGUAGCGGUGAAAUGCGUAGAUAUCAGGAAGAAUACCAGUGGCGAAGGCGGUUUGCUGGCUGCAUACUGACGCUGAAGCGCGAAAGCCAGGGGAGCGAACGGGAUUAGAUACCCCGGUAGUCCUGGCAGUAAACGAUGUAUGCUGGGUGUGAGACUAGCGAUAGUUUCGUGCCGAAGUUAACGCGAUAAGCAUACCGCCUGGGGAGUACGGUCGCAAGAUUGAAACUCAAAUGAAUUGACGGGG
rnacentral:rRNA from 1 species